AUGCUGCCGCAGCAGAGCCAGGCCGCGGCGAUGAUGCAGCAGGCGGCCGCGAUGCAGUCCAUGUACGCGAUGCCGCCGCCGCCGCACCACCACCACCUCCUCGGCGCCGCGCCGCCGCAGCAGAUAGAGCCAAUUCUUACUGGAAAUCUGCCACCUGGUUUUGAUACAAGUACAUGCCGCAGUGUAUAUGUCGGCAAUAUUCAUGUUCAAGUGACCGAGGCACUUCUCCGGGAGGUUUUCCAGAGUGCUGGUUCAGUUGACGGAUGCAAGCUUAUAAGAAAAGAGAAGUCCUCGUAUGGUUUUGUUGACUACUACGAACGCGGAUCAGCUGCCCUAGCAAUUUUGACACUUAACAGGAAGCAAAUUUUUGGGCAGCCUAUCAGAGUUAAUUGGGCAUAUGCUAGUGGUCAGAGGGAGGAUACAACAGACCAUUUCCAUAUAUUUGUUGGUGAUCUUAGCCCUGAGGUCACGGAUUCUGCAUUAUUUGCAUUCUUCUCAGCAUAUUCUCCCAACUGCUCUGAUGCUCGAGUAAUGUGGGACCAAAAGACGGGAAGAUCAAGAGGUUAUGGCUUUGUUUCCUUCAGGAAUCAACAGGAUGCACAGAGUGCCAUAAAUGACUUAAAUGGUCAAUGGCUUGGGAAUCGGCAGAUUCGUUGCAACUGGGCAACAAAAGGUGCCAACAGUGGCGAGGACCAGCUAACAUCUGAUUCGAAAAGUAUAGCUGAUGUAAAUAACAAUUUCACAGAAAAUGCAAAGCAGAAAUCAAAUGAAGAUGCUCCUGAAAAUAAUCCACUGUACAGAACUGUUUAUGUUGGGAACCUUGCUCACGAGGUUACUCAAGACGUGCUUCAUCGUUUCUUCCAUGCACUUGGUGCUGGAGCCAUCGAGGAGGUCCGUGUCCAGCACGGCAAAGGCUUUGGUUUUGUCAAGUACAGCAACCAUGCCGAAACUGCCCUUGCAAUUCAGACGGGUAAUGGUCGUAUUUUGGGUGGUAAACCAGUCAAGUGUUCCUGGGGCAACAAACCUACACCCCCUGGUACCACCUCUGCGCCUCUGCCCCCUCCUGCUGCUCCUGGCCACCCUGCUGCCGCCGACCUCAUGGCGUAUCAACGUGCUAUUGCGAUGAGCAAGAUGGCUUCGACCCAGGCAUUGAUGCAGGCUCAGCAUCUCAGGCAAGCAGCCAUGGGGAUGGGUGUAGGUGCGAGUCAGGCAAUGUACGAUGGUACUUUCCAGAACGUCGGUGCCUCACAGCAGCAGCAGCAGCAGCUCAUGUACUAUUAA
rnacentral:rRNA from 1 species